ACGGGAGGCAGCAGUAGGGAAUAUUGCACAAUGGGGGAAACCCUGAUGCAGCAACGCCACGUGUGGGAAGAAGCAUUUCGGUGUGUAAACCACUGCCGUGAAGGAAUAAUGCCUGGUCUCGGCCAGGUUGAAUGUACUUUGAAAGGAAGCACCGGCAAACUUCGUGCCAGCAGCCGCGGUAAUACGAGGGGUGCAAGCGUUGUUCGGAAUCACUGGGCGUAAAGGGAGCGCAGGCGGAGAUGCAAGCGGUCUGUACAAUCCCGGGGCCUAACCCCGGACCUGCAGAGCGGACUGUUUCGCUUGGAUAGCUCAGGGGCUGGCGGAAUUCCUGGUGUAGCGGUGGAAUGCGUAGAGAUCAGGAAGAACACCGAUGGCGAAGGCAGCCAGCUGGGGGCUUAUCGACGCUCAUGCUCGAAAGUGCGGGUAGCAAACAGGAUUAGAUACCCUGGUA
rnacentral:rRNA from 1 species